AAUUUUUUUGAAAAAAAAAUAAAAAACUAUAUUUUUGAAUAAUUGGAUUAGUGGUUUAGUGUUUAAAGUUUUUUUUAUUAAGCAAGCUUUCGACAAUCAACUGUUGUCAUCAUCAGGGUAAAACUAUAACUGAAAAUUUUGUUUCAAAGCUUUCUUGUUAAAAUUGGAAUAAUUGGCUUCCAUGCAUUGCUUAGUUUAUAUCCGCUGUCUGGUUCAUUGUUGGUGUUAUCGAUUGUUGAAUGAAUAAACCUUCUUUGAUUUUUCACAAAUGGUAUUUUCGUUCUGUCAUGAUUAUUUUAGAAUUGUCCGAGUUUAUACUGUGACCUC